rnacentral:lncRNA from 1 species
GCACUUAUUGUAGCCACUUCUAUAGUGUGCAUUAAAAUGGUGCAAACUUUUCUCAAAUAGCAGGACAAAGAUUGAAACUGGCUUUGCCUGCUGAUUUAUUUAUAUCUUAGGGGUUUUGUGUGCCUUUUUAACUGUUUGUUUUUCUCCACAGCAUGGAGUGCACUGUGGAUUUGGAGGCGAGUACAAAACAGUAUCUCCUUCUGUAAGGGCAUUUAAGUUAAACAAUAACAGUUUCCACCUCCUGUGUUCAACUGAGCAUUCACGUGCCAGCAUUAUAUGAAGCCCUAAAUGUAGAAAUGGAUGCCUGGGGAAAACAUAUGCCGUAUAUACCGUGCACAGACAGUAAGGUGCUGGAACACUGGGAAUGCAAGAGGUUCCCAUUUGAAGUGUAGGAAGUAUGCAGUAAGAAAAGAGAAGAGAAAUGAGAUUGACCUAGUGAGUGGCAACCCUGCCCAUGUCAUGGUGGUUGGAACUAGAUGAUUUUAAGAUCUCUUCUAACCCAAGCCAUUUUGUGAUUCUGUGGUUCUAUGUUCUAUUGUUCUAUAAGGCUCAUUUUACUUUUCAUGUCAGUUGUGGUAAUCUGUUUAUGAGUAAAAUUAAUUCAGCUUGUUU